GACAGAGGGUGCAAACGUUGUUCGGAAUUACUGGGCGUAAAGCGUGUGUAGGCGGCUAUGUAAGUCGGAUGUGAAAGCCCCGGGCUCAACCCGGGAAGUGCACUCGAUACUGCGUAGCUUGAGUAUCGGAGAGGUUGGUGGAAUUCUCGGUGUAGAGGUGAAAUUCGUAGAUAUCGAGAGGAACACCAGUGGCGAAGGCGACUACCUGGCCUGUUCUUGACGCUGAGGCGCGAAAGCUAGGGGAGCAAACGGG
rnacentral:rRNA from 1 species